rnacentral:rRNA from 1 species
AAUCCAGUUUAUCCUGCUGGCGGCUGCGGCUAUCUGAUUUGCACUUAGACAUGCAAGUCUGUCGAGAGACGGCGUACUGCUCAGUAACACGUAGCUAACCUGCCCUAUAGUCGAUGAUAACGUCGGGAAACUGACGGUAAACAUCGAUAGAAGAUUUUUUCUGGAAUGAUAGAUCUUCCAAAUUAGAGCUGUAGGAUGGGGCUGCGGCUGAUUAGGUAGUUGGCGGGGUAAAUGCCCACCAAGCCGAUUAUCAGUAAGGGCCUUUAGCGAGGAAACCCUGAGAGGGAGUCUGAGACACUACUCCCAGCCCUACGGGGUGCAGCAGUCGGGAAAAUUUUGCAAUGCGCGGAGCAAGUCAGAGUGAUUUUCCGUAUUGGAAAAUCUUUUGUGUGAUGUAAACAUUCAUACGAAUAAGGAGUGGGAGAGACUGGUGCCAGCCGCCGCGGUAAUCCCAGCACUCCAAGUCGCAGCCACAAUUAUUGGGUCUAAAACAUCCGUAGCUUGCUUUGUAAGUCUUUUGUGAAAUCGGGCAUCUUAAGUGUCCGGCGAGCAAAAGAUACUGUAAAGCUAGGGACCGGGAGAUGUGAAGAGUACAAAUAAUGUAGCGGUAAAAUGCGUUGAUCUUAUUUGGACUAACAACAGCGAAGGCACUUUACAAGAACGGAUCCGACAGUGAGGGAUGAAGGCUAGGGGCGCAAAUUGGAUUAGAUACCCAAGUAGUCCUAGCAGUAAACACUGCACACUGAACAUCGGGGCCUCUUCGGGAGGUUUCGGUGCUGUAGAGAAGUCGGAGAGUGUGCUACCUGGGAAGUAUAGUCGCAAGGCCGAAACUUAAAGGAAUAGGCGGGGGAGUACUACAACGAGUGACGCGUGCGGUUCAAUUAGAUUCUACACCGUGAACCUCACCAGGACCGAAUCAGUCAAUCCGCUACUACAGGUAAGGUUUAUAAAUGACGACGUUCUUAAGUGUCGUAUGGGCAAGCGGAAGCCCCCAUAUAAUGCCAUGAGACAGGAUGUAAACUUGACGCUGUUAAGCAAGGAAGAAAUUGGUUAUCUCUUUGGGUUUUUUGUUGGAGAUGGAAACAUAUUUACAAGCAGAAAACUUGGAGUUUAUAGAGUAAGAAUAUUUACCUUCAUCAAAGAAGUAAAUAUUCAAAAUAAAUUAAGGGAGAUUCUUCGUACGAUAUUGAAGAAUUUUCGUGAAUAUAAGGAACAAGAUAACACUUAUGUGUUUGAGUUUCACUCUAAAGAUUUUAUUAACAAAAUGUUAAAAAUUGUUGAUAAAAAUGGGCUUAAAAAAAUAAUUUCUAAGAAGUCUGAGAGAGCUUUUAUCGAGGGUCUUAUAGACAGCGAUGGCUAUGUUCAAAGAAACUAUUGUGAGAUAACCACAGUCAAUCCAAAACUGAAAAGCAAUAUCAUCGAAAUAUUGAAAAGAUUUGGAGUCAAAAGCAUCACAAGGAAAUUUCCUAGAAACCAUCACCUGGAUGGUUUCAGAGUUGGAUUUUCCCUAAACGGUAAAAUUUUCUUUCCGUGUAAGUGGGUUACUGGUGUCCAGACAGCAGGAUGAAGGUCAGUCUAAAGGGCUUACCUGACACGCUGAGAGGAGAUGCAUGGCCGACGUCAGCCUGUGUCGUGAGAUGACCAGUUAAAUCU